rnacentral:misc_RNA from 1 species
AGGUAAAUUAAUAUAAUUUCUCAAGGGAAUAAAUGAAAUAUAUAUACAAGUGUGGGUGUGCAUCUACCAUGGCACAUGUUCCUAUAUUUUUUAUAUAUAAAAAAAUUAAUAUGUGAUUAUAUAUUACAAGUUAAAUUCUUAUUUAAACCUUAUUUAUUAUAUAUUCAAAAUAUAAGCAUAUAGAACAUAUGUAUUUAACAGGUAUAUCGCACUAUACAUUUUAUACCUUUAGUUCAUCAUCGUAUUAUUGUAUUAAUUAAUAUAUACACUCAAAUAACUUGAUAUCAAUGCUUCCUAUAUUAGUCCUUUCAAGUGUAUGGAAAGAUUAAUCAAAUAAAACUUCAUUGGUAAAUUUAAAGUUGUAUUCUUGGUACAUGAAAUAAUAGAUUUAGCAACGAAAAAUUUUACUGCUAAAAAUAUAAAAUUUGCUGUUAUAAGUUUAUGGCUAUAGUAUAUGAAUUGUUGAUGAUAUUGCUGAAAAAUUAUGAUUAUAAGUAUUUUACAGCAAAAUUAUAAUUAUUUAAAAAAAAAGUUAUUGAUAUUAACAAUUAU